rnacentral:piRNA from 1 species
AUGGAUUAGACAAGAGAGUUGGGAGCAG